UUGAAUCAUAACAAAUCAUAAAAUCAUUAUUAUGUCUUGAGAUUAAGAUGACCUUUGAGUAAAAAGUGAUCUUGCAUGUGGUCAGAUAAUGACUCUAAAGUCUAUUUGGGGAUAAUCAGAAGUUAAAAAGCAACUUCCCUCCUCUGAUUACAUAUAGCUGCUCAAACUACUGUGAAGACUAACCGCUUGCUGUGAAGUCCCAGCUUCUCAGUUCAGCAAGCCAACUUCAUAAAGUUUGCAUGUCCAAUGGGCCUCUCUUUCCACUGAUGGUCGACUAGGCCAUCUUCUGAUACAUAUGCAGCUAGAGACAAGAGCUCUGGGGGGUACUGGGUAGUUCAUAUUGUUGUUCCACCUAUAGGGUUGCAGAUCCCUUUAGCUCCUUGGUUACUUUCUCUAGCUCCUCCACUGGGGGCCCUGUGAUCCAUCCAAUAGCUGACUGUGAGCAUCCACUUCUGUGUUUGCUAGGCCGCGGUAUAGUCUCACAAGAGACAGCUAUAUCUGGGUCCUUUCAGCAAAAUCUUGCUAGUGUAUGCAAUGGUAUCAGCAUUUGGAGGCUGAUUAUGGGAUGGAUCCCCAGAUAUGGCAGUCUCUAGAUGGUCCAUCCUUUCAUCUCAGCUCCAAACUGUGUCUCUUUAACUCCUCCCAUGGGUGUUUUGUUCCUAAUUCUAAGAAGGGAUAUGGGUACAAGGGAAAAAUUCCUGAAUAGAACAGCAAUGGCUUGUGCUGUAAGAUCGAGGAUUGACAAAUGGGACCUCAUAAAAUUGCAAAGCUUCUGCAAGGCAAAAGACACCGUCAAUAAGACAAAAAGGCCACCAACAGAUUAGGAAAGGAUCUUUACCUAUCCU
rnacentral:lncRNA from 1 species